CUUAAAUAUUAGAUUAGCAUGGAUUUUUAUGACUUUAGUAUUUGCACAACUUCUCAUGCAGAAUCCAGGCGUCUGUAGAGGCUUCUGGUGAAAUCGCAUUAUGCAAGACUGGAUUUCCUGAAGAUGUUUACAGUGCAGUCUUAUCACAGGAUGUGCAUGAAGGACAGCCUCUUCUCAAUGGGACGGAUGCUAAGUGAAGAGGGAACAUGAAGACCCCCUGCUGCAAGGGAGAUCCUGAUUUCAUGUCACAGGAGGAAUCAAAGCAGAAUUCAUUGGAAAUACAGAGGCUGGAGCAAAUAUUACUUUCUGCUGUGUUGUCAACCCAAAGAAACAGCAUGUGUGCUAGACAUUGAAAGACGACUUAUGUUCAUGGGGGAAAUUAUCUAAUGCCAUAAAUUUGCAUCCUUCUACUACAUUGGCAGAUUUUUAAUUUCGCUUAUGAUCUUUCUCGAGUAGGGAGCAUGUCUAGCUUCUUUAUUUUUAGCCUUGCUGCUACAAGAAAGCAAAUGUGGAUUUAUGCUAUGUAAUUCUUAUUUACAAAGUCCAUGUGGCAUUUCAUAGUUUGUAUGUUUCCUCUUGACAAAUCUUUGGUUUGUUUCUGCAGUGCCUUUGUGAUCGUAAAUCAUCAAAUAGUAAUGUUAGAUUGAAUACGUAAUAUUGGAGUGUGUUGAUAUAUUUUAAUUUAUUGACAUUCUUCCCUAAUUUGAUCAUUUUGGAUUUCAUUCCACUUUUUGAUUAUUACAUGUAAUACCAAGUGAACAACUUAUUGCUUAUAUCUUUUUUAUUUCUGGUGGGGUAUUUUUAGUGCAUAUAUUCCUAUGAGCGGAACUACUUGGAAGUACUUUAUUGCUUUUGUCAUGUAUUUUUAUAUUGCCUUCCAAAAAUGUGUUGCUAAUUAAUAGUAAUCCCUACAAUA